AAAUUGAAGAGUUUGAUCAUGGCUCAGAUUGAACGCUGGCGGCAGGCCUAACACAUGCAAGUCGAACGGUAACAGGAAACAGCUUGCUGUUUCGCUGACGAGUGGCGGACGGGUGAGUAAUGUCUGGGAAACUGCCUGAUGGAGGGGGAUAACUACUGGAAACGGUAGCUAAUACCGCAUAACGUCGCAAGACCAAAGAGGGGGACCUUCGGGCCUCUUGCCAUCGGAUGUGCCCAGAUGGGAU
rnacentral:rRNA from 3 species